AGCGAACGCUGGCGGCAGGCCUAACACAUGCAAGUCGAACGGAUCCUUCGGGAUUAGUGGCGGACGGGUGAGUAACACGUGGGAACGUGCCCUUUGGUUCGGAACAACUCAGGGAAACUUGAGCUAAUACCGGAUGUGCCCUUCGGGGGAAAGAUUUAUCGCCCUUGGAGCGGCCCGCGUCUGAUUAGCUAGUUGGUGAGGUAACGGCCCACCAAGGCGACGAUCAGUAGCUGGUCUGAGAGGAUGAUCAGCCACACUGGGACUGAGACACGGCCCAGACUCCUACGGGAGGCAGCAGUGGGGAAUCUUGCGCAAUGGGCGAAAGCCUGACGCAGCCAGGCCGCGUGAAUGAUGAAGGUCUUAGGAUUGUAAAAUUCUUUCAGCGGGGACGAUAAUGACGGUACCCGCAGAAGAAGCUCCGGCUAACUUCGUG
rnacentral:rRNA from 1 species